GUGCAGCAGUCGAGAAACCUCCGCAAUGCACGCAAGUGCGACGGGGGGACCCCAAGUGCCACUCUUAACGGGGUGGCUUUUCAGGAGUGUAAAAAGCUCCUGGAAUAAGGGCUGGGCAAGACCGGUGCCAGCCGCCGCGGUAACACCGGCAGCUCGAGUGGUAGCCGCGUUUAUUGGGCCUAAAGCGUCCGUAGCCGGUCCGAUAAGUCUCUGGUGAAAGCCCACAGCUCAACUGUGGGAAUCGCUGGAGAUACUAUCGGACUUGAGGCCGGGAGAGGCUGGAGGUACUCCCAGGGUAGGGGUGAAAUCCUAUAAUCCUGGGAGGACCACCUGUGGCGAAGGCGUCCAGCUGGAACGGACCUGACGGUGAGGGACGAAAGCCAGGGGCGCGAACCGGAUUAGAUACCCUCGUAGUCC
rnacentral:rRNA from 1 species